rnacentral:tRNA from 1 species
GCCGCCGUAGCUCAAUCGGCAGAGCAAACCAUUCGUAAUGGUUAGGUUAUCAGUUCAAUUCUGAUCGGCGGCU